CUAAAGUCCUGCAUUAAACACCAUCUAGCGAAGAAGGAAUCAAAGACGAAAUGCUGCCAUCUAGCAAUAAAAAAGGAAAGGCUUACACGGAACUGACGGAACCAAAGUAAAAGUAAACACCAACAUGGCGGCGACCGGCGAGGUGUGAACCGUGAAGUGUUGGCUGUCGUUCAAUCGUUCUAUUAACUACCUGUCACUUAUUUUCCUUGCACUGAAUAACUCUCAAGUCUCAAGUUAUUUUAUAGUCUUUCAGUAACUAAGCUUAGAAAAGCGCAAGUGGAACAUGUGAUUAGCACUUAGCAGCAAGAGUUGGAAUGAAGAACAGUUCAGCAGGCCUACAAUUGGACAACUCUGACAGUGAGGAACUUUUGGGAGUUGCUGUUGAUUUCUAUCUCCGAAGUCAGAAUUUCUCAGAAAAUUAUAAAUUACUUGAUACAUCAGUCUUCAAUGAAAUUGGAUAGAAAGGAGGAGAAUAUUCCAGCCGCUGUGGUUGCUGAUCCGUUCAGAAUCCAUUCGAGUGAUUGAAAUCGGACUUGGGACUAACGACGCCUUGUGGACAGCUGGCCAUUCGUAUUGAAGUGGAGACAAUGAUGAUCCGGACGUCGAGCAGUUAAUUGGUUCCACGGGUGGAACAGCCGGAGGAUCCGAAUAAAAUCCAGGAGUUGGAAGGACUUGAGUUGAGACAGACUAACUUGUCGACUUUGACGAGAAACGCAAGGCGUUGAUCGACGAUGUUGGCGAUUUGUUUCAAGACUUGAUGUUGAGACUCGUGAAGAUCCAAGUUGGCGGGCUCGUCGACGGCAAUUCUGAAACCACCACUGAUGCAAUCAAAAAGAGAAAUUAAUUUUGAACAGGUAACUUGAUUAAAAAAAAAAUAAUCAAAAUGCCACACCAUAAUCGAUUUCUCAGAAACUCCAAUCAGCUGGGCCAUUCGGCGACGACCUUCUCGAUUGGGAAACGGAUCUCUGGUGAGCUCUGCGUCGAGUAGCUCCACCUGAACCUGGAUUAGGAGGUCUGUUUCGUUCUUUAGCGAAGGGGUUGCUCCUUUUCCGACUUUGAAAGGAUUAUUUACACUUUCGUGAAGAGAUGGUAGUAACUGAGUGACAUAAAAAUGCCUCAUUCCUUCUUAAGGCUGUAUGCAUUAACCUAAUAACUAAUCAAUUGAGUGUAUUUAGGUUUACUGAAUUUUUUGCAAGUAAAAAGUAAGUGAAAAAGAACGAACUGUGGAGAGAUUAAAUCAAUUAUUAAUCCAUUUUAAGAUUAUCCAGGCGGAAGUACUCAAUCGGCAUUGCUGUCCAGGAUCAACAGCUUAUUUGAGAAUUUAGGUAUUAACCUUGGAGUUUCUUCUCGUCUUUACCGAUAUCAGAUAAUUCAAAAUAUCCAGCCAGUUCGGCGUUUGACUUCUCAAUGGUUCCCAGCUGAAAAUGGAUUGUUAAACGAAGAGUAAUUUUAUAAGAUUUCUUUAUAAGCGAAGUGUGUAGAAGCCCACAAGGAAGGACACAAGAAAAUGUUUUAAAAAUCACUUUGAUUAUAAAGUUCGUGAGAAAAAAAGGUUUUGAGGUGAAAGAAGCAAACUCGCUUCGUUCUCACGUCCCUCACACGGUAAAAAACCAUUCGUUGCCGUAAGUUAGGACAAUAGUGACCCAACGACCCCAGUUCCUUGAAGGUGGCAGUCACGACAUUAGGUGAAUAAUUGUGAGUUGAAGAUAAGUCGUUUGGAGGUGCAACACAGUUGGAGUAAAACAUUGGAUUGGGUACAGAAGAUGAACAGAAAGGAUGGAGGAGAGUAUUUGCAGUUGUUCCAGUAAUAGGAGGAAUAGUAUUGUUGCUUUGACUGCUGUUCCGG